CAUCCACUCAAAUUUAUAUAUAUAAGCACUUUCUUUUCCCCCGACAAGAUUGAGAUUACCUGAUUACUUAAAUUAAGAAUGUAGCAAUCUGUCGGCGUACUAGCCUUAUAUUAGGUAUUAUCAACAAUGACAAUGUUACCUGACCAACCAGUUCGUUUGAUUCAGGUUUAAAUGCAUUGAUUUGGAUGGAAAUGGGAUGAUCACACCAAAUGAAAUGCAAUUUUUUUAUGAGGAGCAGUUUCAUCGGAUGGAGUGCAUAGCCCAGGAAGCAGUGGUCUUUGAGGAUAUAUUAUGCUAGAUUUGGACAUAAUUGAAUCGGGGCUACAUCACUCUUACGUGACUUGAAAGGCUGCAAACUAUCUGGAAAUGUAUUCAACAAUCUUUCCGAUCUCAACAGGUUUAUUGCUUUUGAAAGUCGUGAUCCUUUCCUUCCUUUCCUUAUUCGUCAGAAGCAUGAAAAUCCAACAUUGCAGAGUGGGAUCGCUUUGCACAUGGAGAAUAUAUUAGGCUUUCCAUGGAAGAAGACGUCAAGGAUGCUUAAUUAGGUACGUUCAAAAGAGGUGCUGUUGUUGUAGAUGGAUACAAUUGAAGUUGUUCUCUUUUGCAGUCCAUUUUUUAUGUGUUUGCAAAAAGUUAGGGUUUCCUCUUCUUUUUUAAUCUAUGUUGUUCAUGUCAGUUUGACCCUCUUUCUUUCUUUUUAUUGAUUGUUUUGAUACAGAUAUUUUCUUGGUUAUUCAAUUUAUGGUUAAAAGAAAAUGUUAAUAUUUGUAAUAAUUUGUUACUUAGAUGCCUCCCUCUGAAGUCCUAUUUCUCCGACAGCAUUUCACCUAAAAUUUUUUUUUUUUAUUACAAUCUUACAAGUAUUCAAUUAUAAUAAAGGGAAAAAAG